AAAAAAAAAAAAAAAAAAAGAUUUUUUUUUUUAAAAAAAAGAACAAAUUCGAGAAGCUGGACUUCACUAAUCAAAUGACUAAUUUGUACAACUUACAAAUCAAUAGAGCGAGUUGUAGGUAAAACAGGUGGCAAUAAUGGAGGCCACAGAAAUGAAGAGCGAAGGAAUAAGGGUGGCGUUCAGGAGCCUAUUCUGGCCUAAGUACCCAGCCAGGGUUAUUGUGGCAUCAGCAAUCACACGAGCUAUCGUCCCAGCUUCAGUUGAGAGAAGUCCACCAUUGUAGGUUCCACGGGAAAGCCUGGAUGACAUCACUCGAGAUAGCAGAGACAAAUUCACGCCUGCAGAAAAUAUGUAUAUAUUCAUCUAGUCAUGAAACUUGCCGUACAACUUGCCAUACUGCAAUAUCCAAAACUCAGUUACCAAAAUUAACCUCUAGAUCUUAACUAAAAAGUAAUCUCAUCUCUCUGUUGACAUCUUUUUUGUCAACAGAUGUUUAAUCAUUAACAAUUGUGUUACUCAGAAUAAUUUUUGUUCCGACUUGAUAAUGAAGGAUAUCAUGAGAUGAUUUGUUAACAAAUCUUCCAAGGCGAGAAUAAUUUUAACAUUGAUGUAUUUAUUUUACUAGUGCAAGUUAUAUCCCAGCUAGCUCCUUUCUUCUCUUCAAGGCCUUAAUCGUCUGAUUGUUUUACAGAGGAAUAAUACAGUACAAACUAAGUUUACUUGGGAACAAGUUGCCUUUUGAAUCUUCCAAAAAGUUGUGCAAUUUCCAGGAAGAGUUUCAUCUUUGUUUUUUAAUCAUCUACAGGAGAAGACUUCCCCUUUAUCAUAAAAUUCAUCAAUUUGUGCAAAAAUAAUGAAUUGAACAAUUUCUCACCUUCAAGUACUUCAGCAGAAACAAACAUGAUUAAUCCUGAGCAGACAUACUGUGGAACAGUGUAUGCAUUUACGAAUUUGAAGCUCAAGAGUACUCCUAUGCAAACCAUAAUUUCUGAUGCCAAUAAAAUUUGCCUGUCUUCAAACAUGUUGCUAAUGUAGCUUCCAACAAUAAUAUUUACUGGCAGAACUGUUAGGCCUAGACAUGCAAGAAAAAUUGCCACUGUGCUUGUUGACCAACCAAAGUAGUACGAGGUAAUGACACUAGAUUCAGAGAGUAAAAUUUCCAUGGCAUAUUUUAGCAUGAAAUAUAUCAACAACUGAACCUUUACAGAAGGUGUAAGUAGCCUGUAUGCUGAAGCAAUUGAAGUGGUAGGUCGUCGAGAUUCCUCAGGAGCUUCUUCACUAUCAUCACAUUCUCCAUCACCAUUUUCAUCCUCAUGCUUGCCUUCUGAACUCAACAGUAAUGGUUGUUUAAGACCCUUCUCAAGCACAUCAUUUUCCCCUGGUCCAGCCUUGUCCUGUGAUACAUUUUUCUCUUCAGUCUCGUGAGAUGGUUCUCUAAAUGUGAUCCAUAACAGUAUGAGAUAUAAAAGCCAACCCACAGCCAUAACCCAGCCAGGCAAAGUGACUUGGUUGAAUGUAAACUUGUAAAUUUUAAAAUUAGUUUGAAGCAAGCCAGCAAGAGCGGGACCACAAGCCAUCCCAAGAGCACUGGCACUAACAAAACCUGCGGAUGCCUGCAUGCGAAUUCUAACUGGCACACAAUCACUGAUGUAACGCCGAUUAACAGCUCUAGCAGAACCAAAUCCACAGAAUAGACGGCCAACUAAAAGAAGUGUUAUUGACCGAUAAUCAAGUGCCAUUGCAUACAUGGCAUUUCCCACAAGAAGAACAACACUGCUAAAUACUAGAGGUCUGAAGUAUGAUUUAUUUGACCAGGCACUAAAAUACACAGAAGAAAACACCUGGGCAACAGCCAUUGCCCCAAUCACAACACCACAAACUGUUGCUGGAGCUCCAAGCAUUGUUGAGUAAUCAUCAGCUGUGGGGACAAUUAUAUAUGUGUUGACCAUAUAAAGAAAUGUGUUCACUAAGUUCAAGAACAGUGACAUAAAAUGGUAUCUUUGAUCAUCAGCACAUUCCUCAGUGGGAGUAGGCAGCUCUUCUUGCAUAAUGAGUGCAUGUUGUGCCAAAAAGUUGAGGAAGUUUGUUGAGUGACUGAGCCUGUCAACGGCUGCUUUCAGUGAAUCAACAACAGGAUCCUGGAAGGGAAGAGCAGGCUGAUCAUAGAUGGAUAAGUAGCUUCCCUGAUGUUCCUGAAGUUCAUGAAGAUUGCGAGAUAUGGCUCCAAUAACAGCUCCUAAACCCACAUGCUUAAACACUUGCUGCAGCAGGGAAUAAGGAUGAUUAGCACGGGUUUUCACAUAGUAGUCAGUGAAUCUAUAUCUAAAGCGUUUAUCAAACUUCUUCAGGAUCUUACGCAGACCAAUAGCAUUUAUCUCAACAAAAAAGAGAAGCUUUAACAAAUCUUGCCCCGCUGCUCUAUAAGCUUCUCGUAAUUGGGUUAUUUGAGAUAUAUCUGGCUCUUGCUCAAGAGCUUCCUGAUAUUCAUUGAGCUUGGCAAUCCUACUUGCAAGUAGCCCUUGUUGUUCCAAGAGAAAAAGGACAAUCUUCUCAAUCUGAUUAUCUAGCAUCCUUGAGAAAUCCUUGAGAACAUGCCUGCGAUCUAGUGUUCCAACUUCAAUUUGUUGCGCAUACUGUCUCACUUUUUUCUUCAUCAGUUUAUAGUUAAUAUAAUAUCUGAAGGAAAAGAAAUGUAUAAGAAAACUAAAAUCUAAAAUCUAAAGUAGUAACCUCAAAGGAGCAUAAAGAGAAUGCUUUACUAGUAUAGCCAAAUACACUUGAAACUUGCAAUAAAAGCCAAAUAAUGACUCAGAUGCAAAUCCAUGUGCGUCUAUAGUACAGAUUCUGUAUUCAUUUGCCACCUCUGGAUACUAACCAUCCAAGUAUGAAAUAUUUAUCAAAACUAGGUAAAACUAUUGAACUACAAGAUGCUUUUCACCAAAUAACGCCCGUCAGAGAGUUAAGGUUUUAUCUCACUAUGCUAGUAUUCAAAUGCGCUUAGAGUAAGCGGUGCAUGCUAGAAUGUAUAUUGAUACAUGAAAUAUACCCUUGCCAUUCUUGAAUUUGUCGUUCCUUCAACUUUUUCCCAAAGGCAACCAUCUUUCACUGCAAUAAGAAAGAACUAACAAAGAUGGCAACACUACAGUUCCUCAUCCCACAGUCCCAAAUGAUAUAACCCAUCGCUUUUCACAUUUAACUCGCAUCAGAACAAUCAUACUCACGCAGCAACUUCCUAAACUGCACUAGCACUACUGCUAGUGCUGCAUCACCCAUAUGCAUUGGGAAUAUUUAGCACGAAGACAGAGACCAGAGAUAGAUACAUUUCCCACGUAAACAGAGGUCAGAGAAUUGCAUAAUUUCCAUACAUUUACUUUCACUAAACUUUUCAAACAAAUUUUCACUUUCAGGUGUGUAUCAGACUAUGUAGGCCAGGCCUUAGACUUUUUGAUAUAAAUGUCUCUUACACAGCCGUGCUUAUCACUUUAUUAAAAAGCCACCCAAUUUGACCAAGUCCGCGCCACUAUGCAAGUAUGCAGUUUCAGGCAUCAGCAUAUCAACUCUGUUUGUCUCCUUUUUUUCUUUCCCCGUCCCUGAAAUCUAAGGACAUAAAGCAACUAGCACGGCGCUUGCGAUUUAGAAGCAAUACUGCUUGCUUUGGCUGUGUAGAGGAAUUCGGGAACAGAGAACGAAAAUAGACUCGAAAAUCAAAAUUCAACAACUGCUUUUCGUCCCGAUGCAAACUGAACUUAUCUAAGCAGCGGCGUAAGGGGAAGAAAAAACAGUCGAACUUCGGAGACUCAUUUUCUUUUUCCUUAAAGUUUCUCAGCAACUAAAUAACCGUUCAAAAUUUAUACCAGCUCUGUUUGGUUGCGGAGAAAACUA
rnacentral:misc_RNA from 1 species